GGGCAUUUGGUCUAGUGGUAUGAUUCUCGCUUUGGGUGUGAGAGGUCGCGAGUUCGAUUCUCGCAAUGCCCC
rnacentral:tRNA from 1 species